rnacentral:rRNA from 1 species
AUACCCUAUUAUUUUUAUUGUAAAGAAUGAAUAAGCUAAAGUAUUAGUAGAUAUGAUCUUGAAACUUAAAGAAUUUGGCGGUAUUAUAGUCUAUUUAGAGGAAUCUGUUAUGUAAUCGAUAGUCCACGUUGAACCUUACUUAUGUUAUUAUUUGUAUACCGCUGUUUGUGAAUAUACUUUAAGGUUUAUUUUCUUGAUAUAGAAUUAUAUAAUAUUUCAAGUCAAGGUGCAGUAAUAUAUAAGUUGAAUAAUGGAUUACAAUAAAUUUUAUUUAUUAUGGAUUAUUAUUGAAAUAUAAUUUGAAGGUGGAUUUAAUUGUAAUUUUAUGAAGAUUAUUAAAAUGAUUAAUAGCUCUAUAAUAUGUACACAUCGCCC